rnacentral:rRNA from 1 species
ACGAACGCUGGCGGCGUGCUUAACACAUGCAAGUCGAACGGAAAGGCCCUGCUUUUGUGGGGUGCUCGAGUGCGAACGGGUGAGUAACACGUGAGUAACCUGCCCUUGACUUUGGGAUAACUUCAGGAAACUGGGGCUAAUACCGGAUAGGAGCUCCUGCUGCAUGGUGGGGGUUGGAAAGUUUCGGCGGUUGGGGAUGGACUCGCGGCUUAUCAGCUUGUUGGUGGGGUAGUGGCUUACCAAGGCUUUGACGGGUAGCCGGCCUGAGAGGGUGACCGGCCACAUUGGGACUGAGAUACGGCCCAGACUCCUACGGGAGGCAGCAGUGGGGAAUAUUGCACAAUGGGCGGAAGCCUGAUGCAGCAACGCCGCGUGCGGGAUGACGGCCUUCGGGCUGUAAACCGCUUUCGCCUGUGACGAAGCGUGAGUGACGGUAAUGGGUAAAGAAGCACCGGCUAACUACGUG